GAUGAACGCUGGCGGCAUGCCUAAUACAUGCAAGUCGAGCGAACGGACGAAAAGCUUGCUUCUCUGAUGUUAGCGGCGGACGGGUGAGUAACACGUGGAUAACCUACCUAUAAGACUGGGAUAACUUCGGGAAACCGGAGCUAAUACCGGAUAAUAUUUUGAACCGCAUGGUUCAAAAGUGGAAGACGGUCUUGCUGUCACUUAUAGAUGGAUCCGCGCUGCAUUAGCUAGUUGGUAAGGUAACGGCUUACCAAGGCAACGAUGCAUAGCCGACCUGAGAGGGUGAUCGGCCACACUGGAACUGAGACACGGUCCAGACUCCUACGGGAGGCAGCAGUAGGGAAUCUUCCGCAAUGGGCGAAAGCCUGACGGAGCAACGCCGCGUGAGUGAUGAAGGUCUUCGGAUCGUAAAACUCUGUUAUUAGGGAAGAACAUAUGUGUAAGUAACUGUGCACAUCUUGACGGUACCUAAUCAGAAAGCCACGGCUAACUACGUG
rnacentral:rRNA from 1 species